rnacentral:rRNA from 1 species
AUACGGAGGGUGCAAGCGUUACUCGGAAUCACUGGGCGUAAAGCGCGCGCAGGCGGCUAUUUAAGUUGGAUGUGAAAGCCUACGGCUCAACCGUAGAACUGCAUCCAAAACUAUUUAGCUAGAGUGUGGGAGAGGAAGAUGGAAUUAGUUGUGUAGGAGUAAAAUCCGUAGAGAUAACUAGGAAUACCAAAAGCGAAGGCAAUCUUCUGGAACACUACUGACGCUGAGGCGCGAAAGCGUGGGGAGCAAACAGGAUUAGAUACCCUAGUAGUCC